CGCCCCCUAGUUCAGGGCCGGAGAGGCUGGCCUGCCCGCAGCGCAGACAGGAAUGUCACCGCGGUCUCCCAGGCUGAAUGACAAAAGUUCGUGGACUGCCCCCUCCCCGCCUAUCCUCCACCCACGCGUACCGCCCAGUUCCCCCCACCGUUUCCGACCCGGCAGCUUCUGGAAAACAGCGCCCUUGAUCCUCCCGGGCAGGAAGAAGGGCCAAGGAAGAGGUUAGAAGGGAGAGUUAGGAUUUCCCAAGAACCAGCCCUGAAGGCCUGGAGGUGGGGGAUUUCGCUUCUUAGUUGGACGGGAGCCCCUUGGGUUCCUCACUUCUUAGCCCGCGCCCUGCGGGAGGAGCGACUCUGCUUGUCCCUCAAGAUACUUGGGAAGGUGCCCGCUGCGCUGACACCGGCGAUCUCUUAGAAUGAAGACCACCCCUGGGCAAAAUUACGAAGAAGUGGAAGGAAAGAAGAGAAGAAGAAAGGAAUAUAGGCUACAUGUUUUACAGACAUUGUUUCAUCCAAUCUUCAAAACCAAUCUCUGAGGAUCUUCCUCAGCAUCAGUAAUUUCUUUGGAAAGAAUUGGAGAGAAAGAAGAUAUACAUCUUUAAAAGGAAAUUGUCACUACCUUGUUAACCCAACUCUACAAAUAUUCCUGACUUCAGACUAUCCAAGCAAAGACAGAAUACACAAUUUUUAAGUCUCCUACUUUUUCUAGGAGAGAAAAAUGUAUGAGAAAGGGAAAGACAAAAGCCCUAUCAAAGGCUUAUGGUGACUUGGUUAAAGAAGG